AUCUACCUUGUACAGGGGAAUAGCCCAGGGAAACUUGGAUUAAUGCCCCGUGGUACCAUGACCCGGCAUCGGGAUAUGGUUAAAGCCUUCGGGCGGUACAAGAUGGCCAUGCGUCCCAUUAGUUUGUUGGUAAGGUAACGGCUUACCAAGACUACGAUGGGUAGGGGCCCUGAGAGGGGGAUCCCCCACACUGGUACUGAGACACGGACCAGACUCCUACGGGAGGCAGCAGUGAGGAAUAUUGGACAAUGGAGGAGACUCUGAUCCAGCCAUGCCGCGUGCAGGAAGAAUGCCCUAUGGGUAGUAAACUGCUUUUAUACGGGAAGAAAAAGAGCUACGUGUAGCUUACUGACGGUACCGUAAGAAUAAGGACCGGCUAACUCCGUGCCAGCAGCCGCGGUAAUACGGAGGGUCCGAGCGUUAUCCGGAAUUAUUGGGUUUAAAGGGUCCGUAGGCGGGCCGAUAAGUCAGGGGUGAAAGUCUGCCGCUCAACGGUAGAACUGCCUUUGAUACUGUCGGUCUUGAGUUAUAGUGAAGUUGCCGGAAUAUGUAGUGUAGCGGUGAAAUGCAUAGAUAUUACAUAGAACACCGAUUGCGAAGGCAGGUGACUAACUAUAUACUGACGCUGAUGGACGAAAGCGUGGGGAGCGAACAGGAUUAGAUACCCUGGUAGUCCACGCCGUAAACGAUGGAUACUAGCUGUCCGGAACCUUGAGUUCUGGGCGGCCAAGCGAAAGUGAUAAGUAUCCCACCUGGGGAGUACGUUCGCAAGAAUGAAACUCAAAGGAAUUGACGGGGGCCCGCACAAGCGGUGGAGCAUGUGGUUUAAUUCGAUGAUACGCGAGGAACCUUACCAGGGCUUAAAUGCAUAUUGACAGGUCUAGAGAUAGAUUUUCCUUCGGGCAAUUUGCAAGGUGCUGCAUGGUUGUCGUCAGCUCGUGCCGUGAGGUGUCAGGUUAAGUCCUAUAACGAGCGCAACCCCUACCGUUAGUUGCCAGCAUGUCAUGAUGGGGACUCUAACGGGACUGCCGGUGCAAACCGUGAGGAAGGUGGGGAUGACGUCAAAUCAUCACGGCCCUUACGUCCUGGGCCACACACGUGCUACAAUGGCAGGUACAGAGAGCAGCCAUGUCGCAAGGCAGAGCGAAUCUAUAAAACC
rnacentral:rRNA from 1 species